GUAGGGAAUAUUGGGCAAUGGAGGCAACUCUGACCCAGCCAUGCCGCGUGCAGGAUGACAGCCCUCUGGGUUGUAAACUGCUUUUAUACGGGAAGAAAAAAUACUACGUGUAGUAUACUGACGGUACCGUAAGAAUAAGGAUCGGCUAACUCCGUGCCAGCAGCCGCGGUAAUACGGAGGAUCCAAGCGUUGUCCGGAUUUAUUGGGUUUAAAGGGUGCGUAGGCGGAUCUUUAAGUCAGUGGUGAAAGCCUGCAGCUUAACUGUAGGAUUGCCAUUGAAACUGAAGAUCUUGAAUGUGGUUAAAGUAGGCGGAAUGUAUCAUGUAGCGGUGAAAUGCUUAGAUAUGAUACAGAACACCGAUAGCGAAGGCAGCUUGCUGAACCAUUAUUGACGCUGAGGCACGAAAGCGUGGGGAGCGAACAGGAUUAGAUACCCCUGUAGUCC
rnacentral:rRNA from 1 species